rnacentral:rRNA from 1 species
AAGCGCUUACGAAUUCGCCCUUCUUGGUCAUUUAGAGGAAGUAAAAGUCUAACAAGGUUUUCCUUCCGGUUAAAAGCUGUAACCUGCUGAAGCCUGACUGGCGACUAAAAAUAAUCAUGGAGUCUUACCGACGAGGGAGGACAAUACGCUGAAUUGCUGUGAUCAACGAAUUGUUGUACCAGCAGCCCGUAACAGGCCCACAGAUCAAGCCGCGGUGGUUUUACCUAGAAUAAUUAGGCAGAACUCAAUAUGACCGGUCUCGCCUGUUGAGGGCAGAGAGUGAACGUUCCGUAGUGAACCUGCGGAAGGAUCAUUACCGAGUUAGGGUCUUCCAGGCCCGACCCCAACCCUUUGUUUACUCUACCAUGUUGCUUUGGCGGGCCCGCCUUUAGGGCCGUAGGGGGCUUUACCGCCUCUGGCUCGUGCUCGCCAGUGGCCUUUUAAAUUCUUUAAUUGUGUUGUCUGAGUACAAAUAUCAAUCGUUUUAAAAUUUCAACAACGGAUCUCUUGGUUCUGGCAUCGAUGAAGAACGCAGCGAAUGCGAUAAGUAAUGCGAAUUGCAGAAUUCAGUGAGUCAUCGAAUCUUUGACGCAUAUUGCGCACAUUGGUAUUCCGAAGGGCAUGCCUGUUCGAGCGUAUUAUCAACCAUCAAGCCUGGCUUGUCGUUGGACCCUCUUUGUUGCCCAGCGACAGGUCCGAAAGAUAAUGAACGGUGUCCUGCUGGCCCUAAAUGCACGAGCUUUUUAUAGCACGCAUUUAGUGGUUGGUAGGCCCGGUCUCAAUCUUUUUCUAAAGUUGACCUCGGAUCAGGUAGGAAUACCCGCUGAACUUAACAUAUCAAUAAGCGGAGGAA